rnacentral:rRNA from 1 species
GAUGAACGCUGGCGGCGUGCCUAAUACAUGCAAGUCGAGCGAACGGACGAGAAGCUUGCUUUUCUGAUGUUAGCGGCGGACGGGUGAGUAACACGUGGAUAACCUACCUAUAAGACUGGGAUAACUUCGGGAAACCGGAGCUAAUACCGGAUAAUAUUUUGAACCGCAUGGUUCAAAAGUGAAAGACGGUCUUGCUGUCACUUAUAGAUGGAUCCGCGCUGCAUUAGCUAGUUGGUAAGGUAACGGCUUACCAAGGCAACGAUGCAUAGCCGACCUGAGAGGGUGAUCGGCCACACUGGAACUGAGACACGGUCCAGACUCCUACGGGAGGCAGCAGUAGGGAAUCUUCCGCAAUGGGCGAAAGCCUGACGGAGCAACGCCGCGUGAGUGAUGAAGGUCUUCGGAUCAUAAAACUCUGUUAUUAGGGAAGAACAUAUGUGUAAGUAACUGUGCACAUCUUGACGGUACCUAAUCAGAAAGCCACGGCUAACUACGUGCCAGCAGCCGCGGUAAUACGUAGGUGGCAAGCGUUAUCCGGAAUUAUUGGGCGUAAAGCGCGCGUAGGCGGUUUUUUAAGUCUGAUGUGAAAGCCCACGGCUCAACCGUGGAGGGUCAUUGGAAACUGGAAAACUUGAGUGCAGAAGAAGAAAGUGGAAUUCCAUGUGUAGCGGUGAAAUGCGCAGAGAUAUGGAGGAACACCAGUGGCGAAGGCGACUUUCUGGUCUGUAACUGACGCUGAUGUGCGAAAGCGUGGGGAUCAAACAGGAUUAGAUACCCUGGUAGUCCACGCCGUAAACGAUGAGUGCUAAGUGUUAGGGGGUUUCCGCCCCUUAGUGCUGCAGCUAACGCAUUAAGCACUCCGCCUGGGGAGUACGACCGCAAGGUUGAAACUCAAAGGAAUUGACGGGGACCCGCACAAGCGGUGGAGCAUGUGGUUUAAUUCGAAGCAACGCGAAGAACCUUACCAAAUCUUGACAUCCUUUGACAACUCUAGAGAUAGAGCCUUCCCCUUCGGGGGACAAAGUGACAGGUGGUGCAUGGUUGUCGUCAGCUCGUGUCGUGAGAUGUUGGGUUAAGUCCCGCAACGAGCGCAACCCUUAAGCUUAGUUGCCAUCAUUAAGUUGGGCACUCUAAGUUGACUGCCGGUGACAAACCGGAGGAAGGUGGGGAUGACGUCAAAUCAUCAUGCCCCUUAUGAUUUGGGCUACACACGUGCUACAAUGGACAAUACAAAGGGCAGCGAAACCGCGAGGUCAAGCAAAUCCCAUAAAGUUGUUCUCAGUUCGGAUUGUAGUCUGCAACUCGACUACAUGAAGCUGGAAUCGCUAGUAAUCGUAGAUCAGCAUGCUACGGUGAAUACGUUCCCGGGUCU